rnacentral:piRNA from 1 species
CAAUGAGUAUUCAGCCGGUGCCAGUGGA